UUCCGGUUGAUCCUGCCGGCGAUCACCGCUAUUGGAAUCCGCUUAAGACAUGCGAGUUGAGAGGGCUUAGACCCUCGGCAUACUGCUCAGUAACACGCGGACAAUCUGCCCUAAGGUGGGGAAUAAUCUCGGGAAACUGAGCAUAAUACCUCAUAGAUCAUGAAUGCUGGAAUGCUUCGUGGUCAAAAGCUCCGGCGCCUUAGGAUGAGUCUGCGGCCUAUCAGGUCGUAGUGGGUGUAACGGACCCACUAGCCAACGACGGGUACGGGCGUUGGGAGACGUCGCCCGGAGAUGGAUUCUGAGACACGAAUCCAGGCCCUACGGGGCGCAGCAGUCGCGAAAACUUGUCAAUGCGGGAAACCGCGAACAGGGGAGUCCAAGUGCUUGCACUUUGUGUAAGCUGUUCGGUUGUCUAAAAAACAGCCGAAGGAAGGGCUGGAUAAGACAGGUGCCAGCCGCCGCGGUAAUACCUGCAGCCCGAGUGGUGAUCGAUUUUAUUGAGCCUAAAGCGUCCGUAGCCGGUCUAGUAAACCCUUGGGUAAAUUGGGCAGCUUAACUGUCCGAAUUCCGAGGGGACUGCUAGGCUUGGGACCGGGAGAGGUCAGAGGUACUCCAGGGGUAGGGGCUAAAUCCGAUAUGGUUUCGUGCCAUUCGRUUAGCAUUCCUGUAAUCCUYGGGSGACCACCAGUGGCGAAGGCRUCUGACUAGAACGGAYCCGACGGUAAGGGACGAAACNCUGGGGCGCGAACCGGAUUAGAUMCCCGGGUAGUCCWGGGCGUAAACGCUGCAGGCUUGGUGUUGGGGACCCUACGAGGGUGCCCAGUGCCGAGAGUGAAGAUGUUAAGCCUGCCGCUUGNGGAGUACGUCCGCAAGGAUGANACUUAAAGGAAUNGNCGGGAGAGCACAGCAACGGGAGGAGCGUGCGGNUCAAUUGGAUUCAACGCCGGAAAACUCNCCGGGAGCGACGNUUACAUGAAGGUCANGCUGAUGACCUNACCUGAUUUUUCGAGAGGUGGUGCAUNNNNNUCGUCANUUNGUACCGNAAGGCGUUCUGUUAAGUCNGAUAACGAACGAGNCCCUCACCCUUAAUUGCNAGCCUAUUCNCCGGAAUGGGCGCACAUUAAGGGGACCGCUGGCGCUAAGUCAGAGGAANGAGAGGUCAACGGUAGGUCAGUAUGCCCCGAAUCUCCCGGGCUACNCGCGCGCUACAAAGNAUAGGACAAUGGGAUGCAACNCCNAGNGGUGAAGCGAACCCCGAANCCUAUUCNUAGNUCGGAUUGNGGGCUGUAACUCGCCCUCAUGNAGCUGGAUUCCGU
rnacentral:rRNA from 1 species